GACGAACGCUGGCGGCGUGCUUAACACAUGCAAGUCGAACGCUGAAGCUCAGCUUGCUGGGUGGAUGAGUGGCGAACGGGUGAGUAACACGUGAGUAACCUGCCCUCUUCUUUGGGAUAACGCCCGGAAACGGGUGCUAAUACUGGAUAUUCACUGAUUCUCGCAUGGGGGUUGGUGGAAAGGUUUUUUCUGGUGGGGGAUGGGCUCGCGGCCUAUCAGCUUGUUGGUGGGGUGAUGGCCUACCAAGGCUUUGACGGGUAGCCGGCCUGAGAGGGUGACCGGUCACAUUGGGACUGAGAUACGGCCCAGACUCCUACGGGAGGCAGAAGUGGGGAAUAUUGCACAAUGGGCGAAAGCCUGAUGCAGCGACGCCGCGUGAGGGUUGGAGGCCUUCGGGUUGUAAACCUCUUUCGCUCAUGGUCAAGCCGCAGCUUUGGGUUGUGGUGAGGGUAGUGGGUAAAGAAGCGCCGGCUAACUACGUG
rnacentral:rRNA from 1 species